UAAAAUACAAAUAAUUUAAGUAACUCAUCAAAAUCGACACAGAUAGUAGAGGUAUGAGUCGUAAAUUGAGCCAAGCAGCCAGGCUCCAGAUCAUAAGCUCUUAACCCCUCUGUGAUAUUGCCAAUUCUUGGGCUGGGAAGUCGGAAUAAAGCCAUAAUCAGGAGGUAUGUCCUUUUUCUUUGUUUUCAUAAAGCUUAGAGUUUUGAAAGAGAGACAUGCUGAAAACAACCAAUCACAGUCACAAGCAGCAAGUGCUAUAUGAGAGCCAAGGAAGAGCUAUAGGGACAGAGCAACAUAAAUCAUCCUAACCUACGGACUAUGAGGCUUCUCCCAAAGGAGGAAAAGAUCCAGAGAGUAAAGGAGGUGCCAUGUCCAUACCGACUUUGUUUCCUGCUUGUUGUUGGUGAUAAGCAUACAGAGAUGAUUUUCUUCAAUGAACAUGGUUGGAUUCCCAGUUCUGCCAUUACCAGCUAGAUGACCUUGAACAGAUAACCUGACAAUUCCACACAAUCAGGUACUAAAAUUAGAGAAAGAUCAGUAAGUACCACAAAGAUCAUUGUGAAGAACAAAUUAAAUAAUAAAUAUAAAAAUAUUUUCUAAAUUAAAGAGUACUGAAGCAGUUUUGGAAUAUUUAAUUGUCUGUAUUCAAGCACCUCAGCUACUUAUACCUGUGUGACCUUGAAAAGUAAUUUAUUCUGCCUAAGAGCCCAAGUUUUGCAUCCAUGCAUUGCAAA
rnacentral:lncRNA from 1 species